rnacentral:rRNA from 1 species
UGUACCCACUCCGCGGGCCCUGCAAUCCCAUAGCGGGUAGGCUAGACAUUUCGAUAGGAUGGGCAGCAAUAGGAGUGCAAUGUAGACAGGGGGGUAGGAUUUAACUGGUGUAGGCGAGUGAGAUGAGUAGAUAUAGGGGGGGAAUGCCGAGUCGCGAAGGCGGCCCCCCUGCACAAAGAAUGACGCUCAGGUGCGAAAGAGUGGGGGAGCAAACAGGCUUGGAUACCUUGGUAGUCCAGUGCCGUAAACGAUGUCAUGUUGGAGGUUGUUCCCUUGAGGAGUGGCUUCCGGAGCUAACGCGUUAAGUCGACCGCCUGGGGAGUACGGCCGCAAGGUUAAAACUCAAAUGAAUUGACGGGGGCCCGCACAAGCGGUGGAGCAUGUGGUUUAAUUAGAUGCAACGCGAAGAACCUUACUUACUUUUGACAUCCACGGAAUUUAGCCGAGAUGGUUUAGUGCCUUCGGGAACUAUGAGACAGGUGCUGCAUGGCCGUGGUCAGCUUCAGUUGUGAAAUGUUGGGUUAAGUCCCGCAACGAGCGCAACCCUUAUCCUUUUUUGCCAGCGGUUCGACCGGGCACUCAAAGGAGACUGCCAGUGAUAAACCGGAGGAAGGUGGGGAUGACGUCAAGUCAUCAUGGCCCUUACGAGUAGGGCUACACACGUGAUACAAUGGUGCAUACAAAGAGAAGCGACCUCGCGAGAGCAAGCGGACCUCAUAAAGUGUGUCGUAGUCCGGAUUGGAGUCUGCAACUCGACUCCAUGAAGUCGGAAUCGCUAGUAAUCGUAGAUCAGAAUGUUACGGUGAAUACGUUCCCGGGCCUUGUACACACCGCCCGUCACCCCAUGGGAGUGGGUUGCAACAAGAAGUAGGGUAGCUUAACCCACGGAGGGCGCUAACCACGUUGAUUCGGUGC